rnacentral:rRNA from 1 species
CGCGGCCUAUCAGCUUGUUGGUGAGGUAAUGGCUCACCAAGGCGAUGACGGGUAGCCGGCCUGAGAGGGCGACCGGCCACACUGGGACUGAGACACGGCCCAGACUCCUACGGGAGGCAGCAGUGGGGAAUAUUGCACAAUGGGCGAAAGCCUGAUGCAACGACGCCGCGUGGGGGAUGACGGCCUUCGGGUUGUAAACCUCUUUCAGCAGGGAAGAAGCGAGAGUGACGGUACCUGCAGAAGAAGCGCCGGCUAACUACGUGCCAGCAGCCGCGGUAAUACGUAGGGCGCAAGCGUUGUCCGGAAUUAUUGGGCGUAAAGAGCUUGUAGGUGGCUUGUCGCGUCUGCCGUGAAAACCCGAGGCUCAACCUCGGGCGUGCGGUGGGUACGGGCAGGCUAGAGUGUGGUAGGGGAGACUGGAACUCCUGGUGUAGCGGUGAAAUGCGCAGAUAUCAGGAAGAACACCGAUGGCGAAGGCAGGUCUCUGGGCCAUUACUGACACUGAGAAGCGAAAGCAUGGGUAGCGAACAGGAUUAGAUACCCUGGUAGUCCAUGCCGUAAACGUUGGGCACUAGGUGUGGGGGACAUUCCACGUUCUCCGCGCCGUAGCUAACGCAUUAAGUGCCCCGCCUGGGGAGUACGG